AGAGCGAACGCUGGCGGCAGGCCUAACACAUGCAAGUCGAACGGACCCUUCGGGGUUAGUGGCGGACGAGUGAGUAACACGUGGGAACGUGCCUUUAGGUUCGGAAUAGCUCCUGGAAACGGGUGGUAAUGCCGAAUGUGCCCUUCGGGGGAAAGAUUUAUCGCCUUUAGAGCGGCCCGCGUCUGAUUAGCUUGUUGGUGAGGUAAUGGCUCACCAAGGCUACGAUCAGUAGCUGGUCUGAGAGGAUCG
rnacentral:rRNA from 1 species